CGGGACGGGUGAGUAAUGUCUGGGAAACGUGCCUGAUGGAGGGGGAUAACUACUGGAAACGGUAGCUAAUACCGCAUAACGUCGCAAGACCAAAGAGGGGGACCUUCGGGCCUCUUGCCAUCGGAUGUGCCCAGAUGGGAUUAGCUAGUAGGUGGGGUAACGGCUCACCUAGGCGACGAUCCCUAGCUGGUCUGAGAGGAUGACCAGCCACACUGGAACUGAGACACGGCCAG
rnacentral:rRNA from 1 species